CACCCCUCUGGUCCCUAUCGGGCGCCUGGUGCUGGGGCCCUACGUGCGCCGUAGGCCCCGAAUCGCAGUGGCGGGCUCGCCGCGAUCCCGAGCGUUAGUAGCGUUACGUCGCUCCGGGCGCGCGGCGGGCGCCGGCCGUGAAAAGACACACAUUCUUCCAAA
rnacentral:misc_RNA from 1 species